GGGGCUGUGGUCUAACUUGGUUAUGACUGAAGGUUCGGGACCUUCAAAUCCCGGUUCAAAUCCGGGCAGCCUCA
rnacentral:tRNA from 1 species